CUCACCAUGGAUGAUGAUAUUGCUGCGCUUGUUGUUGACAAUGGCUCUGGCAUGUGCAAGGCCAGCUUCACGGGUGACGAUGUCCCCUGGGCCGUCUUCCCUUCCAUCGUGGGGUGCACCAGGCACCAGGUCAUGAUGGUGGGUGUGGGUCAGAAGGAUUCCUAUGUGAGCAACGAGGCCCAGCAAGAGAGGCAUCCUGACCCUGAAGUAUCCCAUCGAGCAUGGCAUCAUCACCACCUGGGACGACAUGGAGAAGAUCUGGCACCACAUCUUCUACAACAAGCUGCGUGUGGCUCCCGAGGAGCACUCUGCGCUGCUGACCGAGGCCCCACUGAACCCCAAAGCCAACCACAAGAAGAUGACCCAGAUCAUGUUUGAGACCUUCAACACCCCAGCCAUGUAUGUGGCCAUCCAGGCCAUGCUGUCCCUGUACGCCUCUGUCCGUACCGCCCAUGUACAAGGGGUAUGCCCUCCCCCACGCCAUCCUGCCUCUGGACCUGGCUGGCCGGGACCUGACUGACUACCUCAUGAAGAUCCUCACUGAGCACGGCUAGAGCUUCACACCUCGGCCGAGCGGGAAAUCGUGCAUGACAUCAAGAAGAAGCUGUGCUACAUCGCCCUGGACUUUGAGCAGGAGAUGGCCAUGGCGGCCUCCAGCUCCUCCCUGGAGAAGAGCUACAAGCUGCCCGAUGGCCAGGUCAUCACCAUCGGCAAUGAGCGGUUCCACUGCCCCGAGGUGCUCUUCCAGCCUUCCUUCCUGGGCAUGGAAUCCUGUGGCAUCCACAAAACUACCUUCAACUACAUCAUGAAGUGUGACGUGGACAUCUGCAAAGACCCGUACACCAACACAGUGCUGUCUGGCGGCACCACCAUGUACCCUGGCAUCACCAACAGGAUGCAGAAGAAGAUCACCGCCCUAGCGCCCAGCAUGAUGAAGAUCAAGAUCAUUGCUCCUCCCGAAUGCAAGUACUCCGUGUGGAUCAGCAGCUCCAUCCUGGCCUCUCUGUCUACCUUCCAGCAGAUGUGGAUCAGCGAGCAGAAGUAUGACCAGUCCGGCCCCUCCAUCGUCCACGAAUGCUUCUAGGUGGACUGUGACUUAGUUGCAUUACACACUUUCUUGACAAAACCUAACGUGCAGAAAACAAGAUAAGAUUGGCAUGGCUUUAUUUUUGUUGUUGUGGUUUUGUUUUGGGCUUUUUUUGGCUUGACUCAGGAUUUAAAAACUGGAACAGUGAAGAUGACAGCAGUUGGUUGGAGCGAGCAUCCCCCAAAGUUCUACAGUGUGGCCGAGGACUUUGAUUGUACACUGUUCUUUUUUUAAUAGUCAUUC